UGGCCAGUCCUGUCUGGAAGACUAGUGAUUUUGUUGUUGUCUCACUGUGCCCAACAACAAGUCCCAGUCUGCCGCACAGUGCUGGCCU
rnacentral:pre_miRNA from 13 species